GACGAACGCUGGCGGCGUGCCUAAUACAUGCAAGUAGAACGCACAGUUUAUACCGUAGCUUGCUACACCAUAGACUGUGAGUUGCGAACGGGUGAGUAACGCGUAGGUAACCUGCCUGGUAGCGGGGGAUAACUAUUGGAAACGAUAGCUAAUACCGCAUAAUAUUGAUUAUUGCAUGAUAAUUGAUUGAAAGAUGCUAUUGCAUCACUACCAGAUGGACCUGCGUUGUAUUAGCUAGUAGGUGAGGUAACGGCUCACCUAGGCGACGAUACAUAGCCGACCUGAGAGGGUGAUCGGCCACACUGGGACUGAGACACGGCCCAGACUCCUACGGGAGGCAGCAGUAGGGAAUCUUCGGCAAUGGACGAAAGUCUGACCGAGCAACGCCGCGUGAGUGAAGAAGGUUUUCGGAUCGUAAAGCUCUGUUGUAAGAGAAGAACGGGUGUGAGAGUGGAAAGUUCACACUGUGACGGGAUCUUACCAGAAAGGGACGGCUAACUACGU
rnacentral:rRNA from 1 species